UGGGGAAUAUUGCACAAUGGGCGAAAGCCUGAUGCAGCAACGCCGCGUGAGGGACGACGGCCUUCGGGUUGUAAACCUCUUUUAGCAAGGAAGAAGCGAAAGUGACGGUACUUGCAGAAAAAGCGCCGGCUAACUACGUGCCAGCAGCCGCGGUAAUACGUAGGGCGCAAGCGUUAUCCGGAAUUAUUGGGCGUAAAGAGCUCGUAGGCGGUUUGUCGCGUCUGCUGUGAAAACCCGAGGCUCAACCUCGGGCCUGCAGUGGGUACGGGCAGACUAGAGUGCUGNGAGGGAUGAUUCGAACUGCUGGUGUAGCGUGGAAUGCGCAGAUAUCAGGAAGAACACCGACGGCGAAGGCAGAUCUCUGGGCCGUAACUGACGCUGAGGAGCGAAAAGGGUGGGGAGCAAACAGGCUUAGAUACCCUGGUAGUCCACCCCGUAAACGUUGGGAACUAGUUGUGGGGGUCCAUUCCACGGAUUCCGUGACGCAGCUAACGCAUUAAGUUCCCCGCCUGGGGGAGUACGGCCGCAAGGCUAAAACUUGAAAUGAAUUGACGGGGUCAUAGCU
rnacentral:rRNA from 1 species